AUCCAUACCUUCCUCACCAAGUAUCCAAAGCCCAGCAGAGGGAAGAGUGUUCCCAAAGUGUGCCCAAAUGAUGAUGGGGGCAGGAAAGGCGGCAUCCAGGGGGAGUGUGACUCUUCACAGGCCAUGGAUUGCUGAGAAAUCCUUUCCAAGAGGCCGGCCUCCUAAGGGACGCCGGCUGCCAAAUGCAAAACCAGAUGCCAUUGGUAACACACACACCGUCUGAGAC
rnacentral:lncRNA from 1 species